GGACAAUCUGCCCUGAAGAAGAGAAUAAUCCCGGGAAACUGGGGGUAAUGCUCUAUAGUCCGGGAGGACUGGAAUGUUCUCCGGAUGAAAGAUCCGUCGCUUCAGGAUGAGUCUGCGGCCGAUUAGGUAGUUGUUGGGGUAAAAGCCCAACAAGCCCGUAAUCGGUACGGGUUGUGGGAGCAAGAGCCCGGAGAUGGAUUCUGAGACACGAAUCCAGGCCCUACGGGGCGCAGCAGGCGCGAAAACUUUACAAUGCGGGCAACCGUGAUAAGGAAACCCCGAGUGCCAGCACAGGCUGGCUGUCCGCCAGUGUAAAAAACUGGUGAAGAAAGGGCCGGGCAAGACCGGUGCCAGCCGCCGCGGUAAUACCGGCGGCUCGAGUGGUGGCCGUUUUUACUGGGCUUAAAGGGUCCGUAGCUGGAUCCGCAAGUCCCUUGAGAAAUCCAUCGGCUUAACUGAUGGGCGUUCAGGGGAUACUGCGGUUCUAGGGACCGGGAGAGGUGAGAGGUACUGCCGGGGUAGGAGUGAAAUCCUGUAAUCCCGGUGGGACGACCUAUGGCGAAGGCAUCUCACCAGAACGGCUCCGACAGUGAGGGACGAAAGCUGGGGGAGCAAACCGGAUUAGAUACCCGGGUAGUCCCAGCUGUAAACGAUGCGCGUUAGGUGUGUCAGUGACCACGUGUCACUGAGGUGCCGAAGGGAAACCGUGAAACGCGCCGCCUGGGGAGUACGGUCGCAAGGCUGAAACU
rnacentral:rRNA from 1 species